GACGAACGCUGGCGGCGUGCUUAACACAUGCAAGUCGAACGGAAAGGCCCUGCUUUUGUGGGGUGCUCGAGUGGCGAACGGGCGAGUAACACGUGAGUAACCUGCCCUUGACUUUGGGAUAACUUCAGGGAACUGGGGCUAAUACCGGAUAGGAGCUCCUGCUGCAUGGUGGGGGUUGGAAAGUUUCGGCGGUUGGGGAUGGACUCGCGGCUUAUCAGCUUGUUGGUGGGGUAGUGGCUUACCAAGGCUUUGACGGGUAGCCGGCCUGAGAGGGUGACCGGCCACAUUGGGACUGAGAUACGGCCCAGACUCCUACGGGAGGCAGCAGUGGGGAAUAUUGCACAAUGGGCGGAAGCCUGAUGCAGCAACGCCGCGUGCGGGAUGACGGCCUUCGGGUUGUAAACCGCUUUCGCCUGUGACGAAGCGUGAGUGACGGUAAUGGGUAAAGAAGCACCGGCUAACUACGUG
rnacentral:rRNA from 1 species